GGCCGCGCCGCGCCGGGCCGGCUGCAUCCGGGUACUCGCGCCCCUCACAGCGGGGCAGGUGAGGGGGCGGGCGCUCGCGGCUUCUUGCUCUGCUGCUUGUCCCGGCUGUCCACCAGGCGCCGAGGGGGCUGCUGCGAAAAAUGUUCCGGGGGUCCCUCGCCCAGGGCCUGAGUUAGAAUAAGUUAGUCUGGUGUAUGGAUUAUUUGCCUGCAGUUGAAGAAAGACUUUUCGCUCCUAAAAAGUUCCUGAAUUAGUGGUCGUCAGCAUGACCAGACAUCAGGAAAUGUGAAAAUUAAUUGAAUCCAAAAUUAAGCUUAUUGUGUAAAAAUCACACCAAUAGAGACGGUUCAAAAUGAGACUACAGCACCUCCAAAUGGAUCUACUGCCACUAAGAUCAUCUAAGCAGGUCUUGUAGAAGAUGGAAUGAACUUUUUUUUUUUUUACAGGUAUGUUUCUGCUGAAAGUCCACUUUUUAUUUUUUCUUUUAAGACUAAAAUUACCCUGACCAAGUCAACUUGCCU